rnacentral:rRNA from 1 species
CCUACGGGUGGCAGCAGUGGGGAAUAUUGCGCAAUGGGCGAAAGCCUGACGCAGCGACGCCGCGUGAGGGAUGAAGGUCUUCGGAUCGUAAACCUCUGUCAGCAGGGAAGAACGGUCACUGUGCUAAUCAGCAGUGAAUUGACGGUACCUGCAAAGGAAGCACCGGCUAACUCCGUGCCAGCAGCCGCGGUAAUACGGAGGGUGCGAGCGUUAAUCGGAAUUACUGGGCGUAAAGCGCUCGUAGGCGGUAUGUCAAGUCAAGGGUGAAAUCCCCGGGCUCAACGUGGGAACUGCCUUUGAAACUGGCAAACUGGAGUGUGUGAGAGGAUAGUGGAAUUCCAGGUGUAGGGGUGAAAUGCGUAGAUAUCUGGAGGAACAUCAGUGGCGAAGGCGACUAUCUGGCACAUAACUGACGCUGAGGAGCGAAAGCGUGGGUAGCAAACAGGAUUAGAUACCCUUGUAGUC